rnacentral:rRNA from 1 species
CCUACGGGGGGCGGCAGUGGGGAAUAUUGCACAAUGGAGGAAACUCUGAUGCAGCAACGCCGCGUGGAGGAUGACGCAUUUCGGUGUGUAAACUCCUUUUAUAGGGGAAGAUAAUGACGGUACCCUAUGAAUAAGCACCGGCUAACUCCGUGCCAGCAGCCGCGGUAAUACGGAGGGUGCAAGCGUUACUCGGAAUCACUGGGCGUAAAGGAUGCGUAGGCUGGAAAUCAAGUCGAAAGUGAAAUCCAACGGCUCAACCGUUGAACUGCUUUCGAAACUGAUUACCUAGAAUAUGGGAGAGGUAGAUGGAAUUAGUGGUGUAGGGGUAAAAUCCGUAGAUAUCACUAGGAAUACCGAUUGCGAAGGCGAUCUACUGGAACAUUAUUGACGCUGAGGCAUGAAAGCGUGGGGAGCAAACAGGAUUAGAUACCCUGGUAGUCCACGCCCUAAACGAUGCACACUAGUUGUUGCGAUGCUAGUCAUUGCAGUAAUGCACUUAACAGAUUAAGUGUGCCGCCUGGGGAGUACGGUCGCAAGAUUAAAACUCAAAGGAAUAGACGGGGACCCGCACAAGCGGUGGAGCAUGUGGUUUAAUUCGAAGAUACACGAAGAACCUUACCUGGCCUUGAUAUCCUAAGAAUCCUGUAGAGAUACGGGAGUGCUAGUUUACUAGAACUUAGAGACAGGUGCUGCACGGCUGUCGUCAGCUCGUGUCGUGAGAUGUUGGGUUAAGUCCCGCANCGAGCGCAACCCUCGUGAUUAGUUGCUAACAGUUCGGCUGAGCACUCUAAUCAGACUGCCUUCGUAAGGAGGAGGAAGGUGAGGACGACGUCAAGUCAUCAUGGCCCUUAUGGCCAGGGCUACACACGUGCUACAAUGGCUAGGACAAAGAGACGCGAUACCGCGAGGUGGAGCAAAUCUUAAAACCUAGUCUCAGUUCGGAUUGGAGUCUGCAACUCGACUCCAUGAAGCUGGAAUCGCUAGUAAUCGUAGAUCAGAUAUGCUACGGUGAAUACGUUCCCGGGUCUUGUACUCACCGCCCGUCACACCAUGGGAGUUGAAUUCACCCGAAGCCGGAAUACUAAACUAGUUACCGUCCACGGUGGGUUCAGCGACUGGGGUGAAGUCGUAACAAGGUAACC